GUUUGAUCCUGGCUCAGGACGAACGCUGGCGGCGUGCUUAACACAUGCAAGUCGAACGAUGAAGCCCUUCGGGGUGGAUUAGUGGCGAACGGGUGAGUAACACGUGGGCAAUCUGCCCUUCACUCUGGGACAAGCCCUGGAAACGGGGUCUAAUACCGGAUAACACUUCCACUCGCAUGGGUGGGGGUUGAAAGCUCCGGCGGUGAAGGAUGAGCCCGCGGCCUAUCAGCUUGUUGGUGAGGUAGAAGCUCACCAAGGCGACGACGGGUAGCCGGCCUGAGAGGGCGACCGGCCACACUGGGACUGAGACACGGCCCAGACUCCUACGGGAGGCAGCAGUGGGGAAUAUUGCACAAUGGGCGAAAGCCUGAUGCAGCGACGCCGCGUGAGGGAUGACGGCCUUCGGGUUGUAAACCUCUUUCAGCAGGGAAGAAGCGAAAGUGACGGUACCUGCAGAAGAAGCGCCGGCUAACUACGUGCCAGCAGCCGCGGU
rnacentral:rRNA from 1 species